rnacentral:rRNA from 1 species
UACGGAGGAUCCAAGCGUUGUCCGGAUUUAUUGGGUUUAAAGGGUGCGUAGGCGGAUUACUAAGUCAGAGGUGAAAGUUUGCAGCUUAACUGUAAAAUUGCCUUUGAAACUGGUAGUCUUGAGUAUAGUUGAGGUGGGCGGAAUGUGUCAUGUAGCGGUGAAAUGCUUAGAUAUGAUACAGAACACCGAUUGCGAAGGCAGCUCACUAAACUAAAACUGACGCUGAGGCACGAAAGCGUGGGGAGCAAACAGG